rnacentral:rRNA from 1 species
AGAGUUUGAUCCUGGCUCAGAACGAACGUUGGCGGCGUGCUUAACACAUGCAAGUCGAACGAGAACGGUUUCUUCGGAAACUCAGUAAAGUGGCGCACGGGUGAGUAACGCGUAAGUAAUCUACCCUUGCAUCUGGGAUAACUACGGGAAGCUGUAGCUAAUACCGGAUACGUUCAUAGAGUUACGACUCUAUGAAGAAAGAUGACCUCUUCUUGAAAGUUAUCGUGCAGGGAGGAGCUUGCGUACCAUUAGCUAGUUGGUAGGGUAAAGGCCUACCAAGGCAACGAUGGUUAGCGGGUCUGAGAGGAUGAUCCGCCACACUGGAACUGAAACACGGACCAGACUCCUACGGGAGGCAGCAGUGAGGAAUAUUGCGCAAUGGGGGAAACCCUGACGCAGCGACGCCGCGUGGAUGAUGAAGGCCUUCGGGUCGUAAAAUCCUGUCAGAUGGGAAGAAAUGUAUGAGGGAAUAAUACCUCUUGUGCUUGACGGUACCAUCAAAGGAAGCACCGGCUAACUCCGUGCCAGCAGCCGCGGUAAUACGGAGGGUGCAAACGUUGUUCGGAAUUACUGGGCGUAAAGCGCGCGUAGGCGGUUUGU